GGAGAGGUGCCGGAGCGGCCGAACGGGACUGAUUCGAAAUCAGUUGACCCCUUGCGGGGUCCGUGGGUUCAAAUCCCACCCUCUCCGCCA
rnacentral:tRNA from 1 species